rnacentral:lncRNA from 1 species
AUGCUCUUGGCUGUGGAAGACGUUGGUCCAUGUAAGCACGGGGGACCCAGCAGAGCCCGUCCGAAGCGAGGAGCGCAGCAGAACCAAGGGCAGAAAGCAGAGCCCACAGGAUACAAAGGGUUGGGACAGUACCCUCUUACCUAUCGGACCCUGGACCGAGCCCAAGUGAGGCAGUGGAAGCGGCACUGGCACCGGCACUGUCAGCGACACUGGCAGUGGUUCCGGCGCCGAGAGCUGACCUUGGAGCUCAUAGCGGAGAGGGAAAGAGACGUGGCUGCCCUGGAGGCCUCGACCGAGAGAGUGGACGUGCGAGGCGUCUGCGAGAGCAGGAACGGGAGGCUGAAGGUCGUGGAGGUCAUCACCGCAGGGGCCGGGGGAACACGGACCUCGGAGUUGCAAAGCCAGAUCAUUUGGGAAAGCGUCCAAGAUGGCGAAGGGAAUUUUGAUCCCGCCGAACUGCAAGAGGCCACCCAGGAAGUCUUGGAGGACCUCAGCAUGCUGAGGAGAUUCAUGAGAAGUGGCCUCAGAAAAGAAGACAUCCUGGCCUUCCACUGUAUCUUCUAUUACUACCCGGACGAGGCCAUUUUGCAGCUCACCUUGGAGCAGUUGCAGGUGCAAAGGAAGAUGGUCGCCUGGGGGUGUGUGGCCCCUCGUAUCCCCCACCAAGCACAGAGGCCCAGGCAAGCAACAGAGAGGAGGGGAGAAGGCGGUGCUACAGCACAGAGGCCCAGGCAAGCAGCAGAGAGGAGAGAAGAAGAAGGCAGCGCUACGCUUCCUCCUCCUCCUCCUCCUCCUCAUGGCAGGUCAGGGGCUUCGGCUCCCAGGAGGCUGAGGGAGGGCCUGCCGAGGGAUCACGGCUGGCUGGCUGCCCUGAGGAGGAGGUGUUGCUGGCGUUCAGGUUCUAAGGGAGACGAGGGCGAGGAAGGCCCAGGCAAGCAGCAGAGAGGAGAGAAGAAGAAGGCAGCGCUACGCUUCCUCCUCCUCCUCCUCCUCCUCAUGGCAGGUCAGGGGCUUCGGCUCCCAGGAGGCUGA